AGAGUUUGAUCCUGGCUCAGGAUGAACGCUAGCGGCAGGCCUAACACAUGCAAGUCGAGGGGUAGCAGGAAAGCUUGCUUUCGCUGACGACCGGCGCACGGGUGCGUAACGCGUAUGCAACCUACCUUACACUGGAGAAUAGCCCUUGGAAACGAGGAUUAAUGCUCCAUGGUAUCAUUUUUUCGCAUGUUGAAAUGAUUAAAGAAUUUCGGUGUAAGAUGGGCAUGCGUCCCAUUAGCUAGUUGGUGAGGUAACGGCUCACCAAGGCGACGACGGGUAGGGGGCCUGAGAGGGUGGUCCCCCACACUGGUACUGAGACACGGACCAGACUCCUACGGGAGGCAGCAGUGAGGAAUAUUGGUCAAUGGAGGCAACUCUGAACCAGCCAUGCCGCGUGAAGGAUGACGGCCCUAUGGGUUGUAAACUUCUUUUGAAUAGGAAGAAACUUAUCUACGUGUAGAUAACUGACGGUACUAUUAGAAUAAGGAUCGGCUAACUCCGUGCCAGCAGCCGCGGUAAUACGGAGGAUCCAAGCGUUAUCCGGAUUCAUUGGGUUUAAAGGGUCCGUAGGCGGGUCUUUAAGUCAGUGGUGAAAGCCGACAGCUCAACUGUCGAACUGCCAUUGAUACUGGAGACCUUGAGUACAAAUGAAGUAGGCGGAAUGAGUCAUGUAGCGGUGAAAUGCAUAGAUAUGACUCAGAACACCGAUUGCGAAGGCAGCUUACUAACAUGUAACUGACGCUGAGGGACGAAAGCGUGGGGAGCGAACAGGAUUAGAUACCCUGGUAGUCCACGCCGUAAACGAUCAUCACUCGCUGUUGGCGAUAUACUGUCAGCGGCCAAGCGAAAGUAUUAAGUGAUGCACCUGGGGAGUACGCCGGCAACGGUGAAACUCAAAGGAAUUGACGG
rnacentral:rRNA from 1 species